CAAAAUUCAUAAUGUACUCCAAAAAGGUGAAUUUUACUGUAUAAAUUAAAAAAAUAGACUGCUGGGUAUUCAAAGGACAGUGCAAUAUAAAUUCAGUAUCUGGCAUCGUUGGUUUUCUCGGCUUUAAGCAUGUUAAACCUGGUAAUUUGGCGCACACACAC
rnacentral:snoRNA from 1 species